CAAGGAAUUAAGAGUUUAUGGGGAAUACCUUGGCAUUCAGAAGCGACGAAGGACGUGGUUACCGACGAAACACUCCCGGGGAGCUGGAAACAAGCUAUGAUCCGGAGGAUUCCGAAUAAGGAAACUUUUUAUACUACUUAUUGAAUUCAUAGAUAAGCAAGAGCAAACCUAGGGAACUGAAACAUCUUAGUACCUAGAGGAAAAGAAAGUAAAAAACGAUUCCCUUAGUAGCGGCGAGCGAAACGGGAGAAGCCUAAACUUAAUUACUUAUUUAUUUAAAUAGAUUGAGGGUAGUGGGACGAUUGUUAAUAGAUUAGCACAGUUAAACGAAUAAGUUGGAAUACUUAACCAAAGAAAGUGAUAGUCUUGUAGUUGAAAACUAAAAUAAUCUCAAAUCAGAUCCCAAGUAGCAUGGAACACGUGAAAUUCCGUGUGAAUCUGCGAGGACCACCUCGUAAGGCUAAAUAUUACUGGAUGACCGAUAGUGAAACAGUACCGUGAGGGAAAGGUGAAAAGAACCCCGGGAGGGGAGUGAAAAGAACAUGAAACCAUAAACUUACAACCAGUAGGAGGACGACUAAAACGUCUGACUGCGUGCCUGUUGAAGAAUGAGCCGGCGACUUAUAGGUAGUGGCAGGGUAAGGCAGAGAAUGCUGGAGCCAUAGUGAAAGCGAGCCUGAAUAGGGCAUAUGUCACUGGUUAUAGACCCGAACCCGGAUGAUCUAACCAUGGUCAGGUUGAAGCUUAGGUAAUACUAAGUGGAGGACCCAACCGACUGAUGUUGAAAAAUCAGCGGAUGAAUUGUGGUUAGGGGUGAAAUGCCAAUCGAAUUCGGAGCUAGCUGGUUCUCCUCGAAAUGCGUUUUGGCGCAGCGAUAAAUCUUAUAACUUAGGGGUAAAGCACUGUUACGUAUGCGGGCUGGUAAUUCGGUACCAAAUCGUUGCAAACUAAGAAUACUAAGUGUACAGUUUAUCAGUGAGACUGUGGGGGAUAAGCUCCAUUGUCAAGAGGGAAACAGCCCAGAGCACCAGUUAAGGCCCCUAAAUAAUUACUAAGUGAUAAAGGAAGUGGGAUUGCGAAAACAAUCAGGAGGUUUGCCUAGAAGCAGCAAUCCUUUAAAGAGUGCGUAAUAGCUCACUGAUCGAGUAAACCUGCGCCGAAAAUGUACGGGACUAAGUAAUUUGCCGAAACUGUGCGAUAUAUUACAAAUAUAUCGGUAGAGGAGCGUUCUGUUGUAGAUUGAAGUAUUAGCGUAAGCGGAUAUGGACGAAGCAGAAGUGAGAAUGUCGGCUUGAGUAACGAAAAUAUAGGUGAGAAUCCUAUACCCCGAAAACCCAAGGUUUCCUCCGGAAGGCUCGUCCGCGGAGGGUAAGUCAGGACCUAAGGCAAGGCUGAAAAGCGUAGUCGAUGGACAACGGGUUAAUAUUCCCGUACCAUUAUUUAUUGAUAACGAGGGACGAAGAAGGCUAAGCUGGCCGGAUGUUGGUUACCGGUUUAAGCGUUCGAGAUGAUGAGAAACGGAGAAAACGUUUUGAGUUGAGGCGUGAUGACGAGAUGCUACGGCAUUGAAGCAGUGUAUGUCAGACUUCCAAGAAAAGCUCGGACUGUCAUAAAUAAAUAAUGCCUGUACCAUAACCGACACAGGUGGGUAGGUAGAGUAUACUAAGGGGCGCGAGAUAACUCUCUCUAAGGAACUCGGCAAAAUGACUCCGUAACUUUGGUAUAAGGAGUGACUUUUUAGGUAACUUUAGAAAGUUGUCACACAAUCGAGGACAGCGACUAGUUAUUAAAACUACAGGUUUCUGCUAAUUCGUAAGAAGAUGUAUUGAAACUGACGCCUGCCCAGUGCUGCAAGAUUAAAGAAAAAAGUCAUUUGGCUUUGACCCUAACUCCCAGUAAACGGCGGCUGUAACUCUGACGGUCCUAAGGUAGCGAAAUUCCUUGGCAUUUGAUUGGUGUCCUGCAUGAACGGCGUAACGACUGUCCUACUGUCUCCAACAUAAACUCAGUGAAAUUGAAUUUUUCGUGAAGAUGCGAAAUUCUUGCAGCUAGACGGAAAGACCCCGUGCACCUUUACUACAGCUUCAGAGUGGUAUUAGGGCAGACAUGUGUAGCAUAGGUGGGAGGCUUUGAAGCAGGAACGCCAGUUCUUGUGGAGCCGACCCUUGAAAUACCACCCUUGUCUUCUCUGAUAUCUAACCACGUCCCGUGAAACCGGGACUGGGACCCUCUGUGGUGGGUAGUUUGACUGGGGCGGUCGCCUCCUAAAUCGUAACGGAGGCGCGCGAAGGUAGGCUCAGACCGGUUGGAAAUCGGUCGUUGAGUGCAAUGGCAUAAGCCUGCCUGACUGCGAGACUGACAGGUCGAGCAGAGACGAAAGUCGGUCAUAGUGAUCCGGUGGUUCUGAGUGGAAGGGCCAUCGCUCAACGGAUAAAAGGUACGCCGGGGAUAACAGGCUGAUACUGCCCAAGAGCUCAUAUCG
rnacentral:rRNA from 1 species